CGAGCUGCGCCGGGGCUCAGCGGAGCCCGCCCCGGGGGUGGGGGGUGGGGGGGGGCCGAGGCCGGCGGGAGCGGGGGGGCAGCCAUGAUGUCGACCUACAAGCGGGCGACGCUGGACGACGAAGACCCCCUGGACUCCAUCAGUGAAAGCGAUGGGUACCCCAACGGCUUCCAGGUGAACUUCCGCGGCUCGAGGAGCAGCCCGGGGUGCUGGGCUGAGCGGACGCGCUCCGAGAAGCAGCUGCUGGUGGUGGUGGGGGUGCUGGGGACCGUGCUGGCCGCGUGUCUACUGGGUCUCAUCUUCCAGUACAGAGCCCGGUCACCCGCCGUGUGCCUGUCGGAAGCCUGCAUCUCCGUCACCAGCUCCAUCCUCAGCUCGCUGGACCGGGCGGUGAAUCCCUGCGAGGACUUUUUCAGCUACGCCUGCGGGGGCUGGAUCAAGGCCAACCCCCUCCCCGAUGGCCACUCGCGCUGGGGCACCUUCAACAACCUCUGGGAGCACAACCAGGCCAUCAUGAAGCAUCUGCUGGAAAACACCACAGCCAACGUGUCGAGCGAGGCGGAGCGCAAGGCGCAGCGUUACUACCAAGCCUGCAUGAACGAGAGCAAGAUCGAGGAGCUGCGCGCUGCCCCGCUCAUGGACCUCAUCCAAAAGCUGGGCGGCUGGAACAUCACGGGUCCCUGCGCAGGGGACAAUUUCAACGCGACGCUGCGGGAUGUGACAGCGCAUUACCGCACCUCGCCUUUCUUCUCCGUCUACGUCAGCGCCGACUCCAAAAACUCCAACAGCAACGUCAUCCAGGUGGAUCAGUCGGGGCUAGGCCUGCCGUCGCGGGAUUACUACCUGAACAAGACGGAGAACGAGAAGGUGCUCGCCGGGUACCUGAACUACAUGGUGCAGCUGGGGAUGUACCUGGGCGGCACCGACGAGGAGUCGACGCGGCAGCAGAUGCAGCAGAUCUUGGAUUUUGAGACGGCGUUGGCCAACAUCACCAUCCCGCAGGAGAAACACCGGGACGAGGAGGUCAUCUACCAUAAAAUGACAGCCGGAGACCUAAAGGAGCUGGCGCCAGCCGUGGACUGGAUGCCCUUCCUCUCCACCGUCUUCUACCCCGUGGAGCUCAACGAGUCGGAGCCCGUCGUGGUCUACGCCAAGGAGUACCUGGAGCAGGUCUCCGACCUCAUCCUGGCCACCGAUAAAUGUCUCCUCAACAACUACAUGAUCUGGAACCUGGUGCGGAAAACCAGCCCCUUCCUUGACCAGCGCUUCCAGGAUGCUGAGGAAAAAUUCAUGGAAGUGAUGUACGGGACGAAGAAGACCUGCCUCCCGCGCUGGAAAUUUUGCAUCAGCGACACGGACAACAACCUGGGCUUCGCCCUGGGGGCCAUGUUCGUCAAGGCCACCUUCGCCGAGGACAGCAAGCAGGUGGCAGAGGAAAUGAUCGCGGAGAUUAAAACAGCCUUCGAGGAAAGCCUGGAGACCUUGCAAUGGAUGGACGAAGAGACGAGGAAAUCAGCCAAAGAGAAGGCAGAUGCCAUCUACAACAUGAUCGGCUACCCCAAGUUCAUCAUGGACCCCAAGGAGCUGGAUAAAGUUUUUAAUGAUUACGAGGCUGUGUCUGACCUCUACUUCGAGAACGUCAUGCAGUUCUACAACUUCUCAGCCAGGGUCACCGCCGACCAGCUUCGCAAACCACCCAACCGGGACCAGUGGAGCAUGACGCCUCCGACCGUCAACGCAUACUACUCUCCCACCAAGAACGAGAUCGUCUUCCCUGCCGGCAUCCUCCAGGCCCCUUUUUACACCCGGGCGUCUCCCAAGUCACUGAAUUUUGGUGGGAUUGGCGUGGUGGUGGGUCAUGAGUUGACGCAUGCCUUCGAUGACCAAGGGCGGGAAUAUGACAAGGACGGCAACCUGCGUCCCUGGUGGAAGAACUCCUCGGUGGAGGCCUUCAAGCGGCAGACAGCAUGCAUGGUGGAGCAGUACGGCAACUACACCAUCAACGGCGAGGCCGUCAACGGCAAGCACACCCUCGGGGAGAACAUCGCUGACAACGGUGGCCUCAAAGCUGCCUACCGGGCAUAUCAAAACUGGCUGAAAAAGAAUGGGGAAGAGGAAACCCUCCCAACUCUCGGCCUCACCAACCACCAGCUCUUCUUCGUUGGCUUCGCCCAGGUGUGGUGUUCGGUUCGCACACCGGAGAGCUCGCACGAGGGGCUCAUCACCGACCCCCACAGCCCCUCGCGUUUCCGCGUCAUCGGCACAGUCUCCAACUCCCGGGAGUUCGCGGAGCAUUUCGGCUGCCCCCUCGGCUCCCCCAUGAACCCCCCCAAGAAAUGCGAAGUCUGGUGAUGGGCGAGCACUGGAGGGAACCGGCUGCCGGUUGCUUCGUCCUUGCCGACAGCUGGAUUUCCCCGGUCCUUUUGAGAGGCUCAAACCACUUCUCCGUGCAACAAACUGCCCAGCUCUCAGCCGGAGCGGCGCCCCGCGUCCCCGGUGUCGUCCGAGUGCAGCUGUAGGUGCAGCACCCUGUGGUGACAGUCCCUCGGCCGGGGAAGCUGGAUGGGGCUGCCUGGGCUGCGGAUGCGAGUAGCCAGCCCCGGAUCCCAGGUUUCUCCAGGAGGGACUGUCCUCAGAGGAUGCUGAUGGGGAAAUUGGGAACAGCGGGCCUGGGGACAGGGCUGGAAGGAUGCUGUGGGUCGCAGAAAGGCUCUGCCGGGAUGCUGCAGCUCCUGGGAUUAGCUUUAAUCCCGGAGCACGAAGGGACAAAUUGACAUGCCAAAGAUGUCACGGAGGCGGUGACGCUGUGGAUGGAGCACCCGGUUUUCCCUCCUGUCGCCUCUGAAGAGAGGUCAGCCGCUUUUUCCCGGCCCAAAGGCUUCCCUGGACAAGCGCAGGCAGUUCCUACCACUGCUUCACUCGCCGCCGUACGGCCCGGGAAACUGCAAGCCCCGAAACCACCGCACGGCCCCAAACCUCCAUCCUUCCGUGUCCGGUUCGGCACCGCUGUAAGAUCUGGCCAGGAUAGGGGCGACGGGCUUUUUUUAAGGGUUUUUUUUAAUGCUCCUUUUGCGGUUUUGAGAAGAAACCACUGACAGUAGCUCAGGUGCUGCAUGUUGUCUCGCGGGGCACCUUCUUGCUCUAGACAGAAAGCAAAGACGUAGAGGGAUUUUUAAUAUUUAUAUGUAAAAGAAGGGAUGGGGCGGGAUUUUUUUUGUAACUAUUUUUUCACCCUACGUGGGCUUAUCGUAAUUGAAAUAAAUACUUUUUAC